UUUUUUUUUUUUUUUUUUUUUUUUGGCUGCACCUGUGGCAUAUGGAAGUUCCCAAGCCAGGGACUGAACUUGAGUCCCAGCUGCGGCCUAUGCCUUAGGUGUGGCAAUGGAACAUCUUUAACCCACUGCGACAGGCCAGGGGCGAACCUGCACUGCCACUGAGACAAUGUCGCAUCUUAACCUGCUGUGCUGCAGCAGCAACUCCCAGGCUUUCAGAGCCUUGAAUGCUGACUCAAGUAGCUAGUCUUUCCCCUAAGAGCAAUGGGAGCCUCAGAAAGAGCCUUAUUAAUAUUAUUAUUAUUAUUAUUAUUAAUUGCUUUUUAGGGCCGUACCUGCAGCACGUAGAGAUUCCCAGGCUAGGGGUCGAAUCAGAGCUACAGCUGCCAGCCUACAUCACAGCCACAGCAACACCAGAUCCCAGCCGCAUCUGAGACCUACACCACAGCUUGGAUGCCAUGUUGCUGCCGCUGGGAACAUCCAUAGCUGUGGGUGCGGCCCUAAAAAGACCAAAAAAAAAAAAAAAGCUGAUUUUGAUUCAGCGGGUCUGGUUUGGGGGGGAGGCCCCAACUGCUGGUCCUCGGUCCAAACUUUGGGGGGCUCAGAGUGGACCUGCCCUGUGGAGGCGGGAGCUGGGGAUGGCGUGGCCCAGGGGCAUCACUAGGGUCAGCCUGUGCUCUUCCCCUAGUGGUGGGCUGAGCAGUGGGCGUGGCCUUGGAUCCGAGGCAGUAGAUGCUGUCACACUCUUCACCUUCCCUGGGGACACUUCAGGCUAUCAUUGUUCCCAAGGUGCCAGAACAUUCUAACCAGAGGACUGGUCCAGCACUUCUGUUACCUCGGGGUCUCAGAGAGGGAAUUCUUCCAGGUAGGGCCUCUGGGGUGGUGUCCUCAGAUGCCCCCCCCAUGGAAUGCGCCCCUAAGUCUUGGCCUCGGGGCCCUGGGGGCCUGGCCGGAGGUGCUGAAGUGGGAGAGGAAGGAAGCGGGGAGCAGAGGAGGCCAAGGCUGUCGCCUCCCAGCCGCGAGAGGGGCCUCAAGUAAACAGGAAAGCCUGGCGGCUCCACGGUUGGGGGGGCUUUUGGGGCGGGUGUAAAGCCCUACUGGACAUGCGCAGCCUGCAAGCACAGGGCUUCUUCUCUGGCAAGCAGACUCAGAGAGGUUGCGUGGCUUGCCCCAGGUCACACAGCGAGGCAGGACCACAGGGCUAGACCCUAGCCUGUCUCUCCUGCUUCUGCCAAUUUCCUGGGAUUCCGGUGCAGGGUCUCCUGCCUCUGCUGCCCACCGUGGUUCAUGGGGUGCCUCAGUUACCCUUUCUAUGAUCUCGGGACGCCGACAACUCAGAGGCUCUAGAAUCCUGGCCUGUGGAAUCCUCCUGCCUUCUAGGUGGUUUUCCCGGGCUCUCUAGACCUCGGGGAACACCGGGUACUGGGACCAUUCCC
rnacentral:lncRNA from 1 species